AUUGAACGCUGGCGGCAGGCCUAACACAUGCAAGUCGAGCGGAUGAGGGAAGCUUGCUUCCCGAUUUAGCGGCGGACGGGUGAGUAAUGCCUAGGAAUCUGCCUAUUAGUGGGGGAUAACGUUCCGAAAGGAACGCUAAUACCGCAUACGUCCUGCGGGAGAAAGUGGGGGAUCUUCGGACCUCACGCUAAUAGAUGAGCCUAGGUCGGAUUAGCUAGUUGGUGAGGUAACGGCUCACCAAGGCGACGAUCCGUAGCUGGUCUGAGAGGAUGAUCAGCCACACUGGAACUGAGACACGGUCCAGACUCCUACGGGAGGCAGCAGUGGGGAAUAUUGGACAAUGGGCGAAAGCCUGAUCCAGCCAUGCCGCGUGUGUGAAGAAGGUCUUCGGAUUGUAAAGCACUUUAAGUUGGGAGGAAGAGUUGUAAGCUAAUAUCUUGCAGCUUUGACGUUACCAACAGAAUAAGCACCGGCUAACUCUGUGCCAGCCGCCGCUGUAACAC
rnacentral:rRNA from 1 species